rnacentral:misc_RNA from 1 species
AUGCUGUACGUAUACUAUAACCAAAACAAAUACAGCAUUACACUUGAGAAUUUGGUUAAACAACAAAGGAAAUGAAGAAAAAUUGGAAGUGUGACAUGACAGAGAGGAAAGACUCAAAAUUAUCCAGAAAACACUUGGCAUUUAACACAGUGUUAUUUGUAAUAUCACAAAGAUAUAUUAAGCUGAAUAACCUGGUAUUGCCCAAAAAUGUACAUCAUGCAGAGGUGUCUCUAUUUUCUUCCCCAGACAUGGCUCCACUAGAGCUAUUCUGCACAGGAGGACCCUGUGUAGGUGGACCUAGGCCUAGCAAUAAGGGAGCCUGUUUCUUUUCGUUACUUGGCUUAGUAUCCUCGUUCCUAUUUGCAGCCCAAGCUCUCAGAGGAGGUUCAAAAUGCUUGCUAGCAACAUCAGGUGGUAAUGCAUCCUCUCCGGGGAGAACAACUAGGCCUUUCUCUCUAAGAGAGGAAGGUUCAUUGUAGCAAGUAUUCCAGAGGGAAUCUACAAGUUGCCUCUCUUCUUUAGCAGCACCAAGAUCUUCAGGUGACAUAGAGGAAAUCCCCUUAAUUCGCUCCUGGAGUAUUUGCUUGAGUUUCUCAUUUUCUUCAGUCGAUGAGGAGCCAGCAACCUCUCCUGUCUUGUCUUGGGCAAGGUCAAGAAGACCUUGUAGGGCACCCUCUCGCACUUCUCCAUCAUCACUAGAGGCUAGAUGCAUCAUAACUCGAGGAAAUCCUAGCUCAGUCACUACAUUGCAGUCUGAACGAUUCUCAUGUAGUAAAUAAUGGAUCAAGUUAAGGGCUUUCCUCUGAAAUCUCACACUCUCAGAACUCAAAGCAUCUCUUAAACCUGCAUAACCAUUUGCAAGACGAAAUGCAGCAAUGGCAGGCUUGUUGUGCCUAAUUAAAGAUGAAAUUGCACCAAGAGCUUUAGUGCGGGCAGUAACAUCAGGAUCUGAGGUAAAAUUUGACAGAAGGGGUUCUAGGCCAUUAGCUUCCAUUACCAGUUGUUGGCUCCUCGGGUUGUUCUGAACAAUUGUACUUACGACUUCUGCCGCUUUGGCUCUAAUGUUUGCAUGGGAGUUCUUUAAGUAACCAAGAAGAGGCACCAAUCCACCAAUUGAUAUGGCUAAUGAUCUGAAUUCA